AUAAACACUAUUACAGGUAGAUUAAAUAAAACUGCAUUUUUCUGAAGUGGUUUUCCAAAAAAUAAUUAGUUUUAGUGUGUAAAUUGCCAAAUAAAUUUGCUUUGUGAGAGUACAAAUAUCCUUUAACGUCACUGUUCCCAGAUACCUGGAAUCCAGCUCACCAGAAUGACCUAAUGUGUCACUUAGAUCCACAAUCUGCCUCUAUCCAAAUGAACCCUACUCAACCCUGUCUCCAAAUGUUGUUUAUUUUACAGCACAGAUUAGAAACAAUAUUAGAAAACUUCAAAACAAAAAUAUUCUUGCUUUUCUUCUUCUUCAUUUACACUUGCUUUUUACUCAUAGUUUCUUUUAUCCAGUACAUCACACAUACAUAACAUGAACUAAUGAUAUUCCAGUCACUUAAACCAUCAGCAGUGUACUGUGAACCACCAGUGGAAUCAUCUGUUCUAUGCAAUGUUAUGACUACAUACAACAUAAGACUUUGAGGUAAAAUACAGAUAAGGUUUGAUGGUAUUACUGCAUGUUAUUCUUUCCUUUAACCUCACUGUGAUCCAUAUUAACCCAUUUUCUGGCAUUGCACAAACAGUACUUAACGCUGUUGCCACAUGCCCUCUUUUCUUCACCAGAAGGUGUUUUACUGUUGUCAACCCAUCUCACAUCCCAUGGUAUUGUCCUCUUCUGACAGUCAGGGAUAAAUUUCAGUUUCAUGCAUGAUAAAACACAGUAGCUACAGGACCACAGGGGUAUCCAUGUUCACAAAAAUACAUUCUUCUUGCCUUUCUGAGUUUCAGGCUUA